GCAUCGAUAAAAAACGCACCGAAAUGCGAUAAGUAAUGUGAAUUGCAAAAUUCAGUGAAUCAUCGAAUCUUUGAACGCAUCUCGCGCUCCUUGGUAUUCCAAGGAGCAUGCCAGUUUGAGUGUCAU
rnacentral:rRNA from 1 species